GAUUUCCCCUCCCCGCCGCCCGCGCUCUCUCUCCUCCUGCGCCCAGGCCGGUCUCCGGCUCCGGAGUCGGACGGCGACGGUGCAGAUGAGGGCGCACAGGGGACGGUCCUGGAGCCCGGGAAGGGUGCGAGAUGGAGACGGCGGUUCAGAAAAGUUGUCAGGUCUCCAGCCCGGGCAGUGGCGGGAGCUGGAGCCGCGGUGGAGACGACUCGAGGGGACGCAGCCCGCCUGGCACAAAGGGCCACGGGCGCGAGGGACUCGAUGAGCUGGGAGAUCGCGGCCCCGGCAGGUGCGGCGCGCUGGGGCGGGUGCUUGGCGCCUUCCCCGGCACAGAGAGUCAAGGGAUUGGAUUGUGGAUUGCAUUGGUGGUUUUCCUCAGUUUCCUCAUCUUCUCCACAAGUUUCUACAUAUCGAAUGCAGAGCAGCCCUUCUUCAAAGGACCUCCUACGGAAGCUGCUAAGGAACUCAGUCUGUAGCUCUGCGUGGAGCCAUGUGUAAACACUGAACUGAGACCUGCCACCUCCUACUACCUAAGGGCCCAUUUUCAUCUGAUAUCAUCCCCCAGAAACAAACUCAUGAUGACUUCCAUGUUUUUUUUAGAUUAGAUACAUGGAGAAUUUUCCUUUCCCUUAGAAUUAAAAUCCUGCAUUCUAAUUUUCAGUAAGCUUUUUUAUUUCUGAAUAAUUUUAAAUUUAAAGAGAAGUUGCAAAGAUAGUAUAGAAUGUUCCCUUAUACCUGUUUUUAUUUAGAGUGAUGUUCCCAGGAGAAAUGAUAAUGCAGCAAUGGACAAGAACAGGAACAAGAGACAGUCUUACCAUCUUCUUACAAUUUAUAGAUGGGACAGUGGAAAGAGAAG
rnacentral:lncRNA from 1 species